UUGGAGGGCAAGUCUGGUGCCAGCAGCCGCGGUAAUUCCAGCUCCAAUAGCGUAUAUUGAAGUUGUUGCAGUUAAAAAGCUCGUAGUUGAAUUUCGGGAUCAAUUUAUCGGUCGUGCCUCUGGUAUGCACUGGUAUUAUUGAUUUCUACCUUCUGACGAACCAUGAUGUCAUUAAUUUGGUGUCAUGGGGAAUCAGGACUGUUACGUUGAAAAAAUUAGAGUGUUUAAAGCAAGCACACGCUUGAAUACAUUAGCAUGGAAUAAUGAAAUAGGACGCUUGACCCUAUUUUGUUGGCUUCUAGGAUCGACGUAAUGAUUAAUAGGGAUAGUUGGGGGCAUUAGUAUUCGAUUGUCAGAGGUGAAAUUCUUGGAUUUAUUGAAGACUAACUACUGCGAAAGCAUUUGCCAAGGAUGUUUUCAUUAAUCAAGAACGAAAGUUAGGGGAUCGAAGACGAUCAGAUACCGUCGUAGUCUUAACCAUAAACUAUGCCGACUAGGGAUCGGAUGAUGUUAAUUUUUAAUGACUCAUUCGGCGCCUUACGGGAAAC
rnacentral:rRNA from 1 species